rnacentral:rRNA from 2 species
AGUCGAACGGAAAGGCCCUUCGGGGUACUCGAGUGGCGAACGGGUGAGUAACACGUGGGUGAUCUGCCCUGCACUUUGGGAUAAGCCUGGGAAACUGGGUCUAAUACCGAAUAGGACCGCAUGCUUCAUGGUGUGUGGUGGAAAGCUUUUGCGGUGUGGGAUGGGCCCGCGGCCUAUCAGCUUGUUGGUGAGGUAAUGGCUUACCAAGGCGACGACGGGUAGCCGGCCUGAGAGGGUGACCGGCCACACUGGGACUGAGAUACGGCCCAGACUCCUACGGGAGGCAGCAGUGGGGAAUAUUGCACAAUGGGCGCAAGCCUGAUGCAGCGACGCCGCGUGAGGGAUGACGGCCUUCGGGUUGUAAACCUCUUUCGCCAGGGACGAAGCGCAAGUGACGGUACCUGGAGAAGAAGGACCGGCCAACUACGUGCCAGCAGCCGCGGUAAUACGUAGGGUCCGAGCGUUGUCCGGAAUUACUGGGCGUAAAGAGCUCGUAGGUGGUUUGUCGCGUUGUUCGUGAAAACUCACAGCUUAACUGUGGGCGUGCGGGCGAUACGGGCAGACUUGAGUACUGCAGGGGAGACUGGAAUUCCUGGUGUAGCGGUGGAAUGCGCAGAUAUCAGGAGGAACACCGGUGGCGAAGGCGGGUCUCUGGGCAGUAACUGACGCUGAGGAGCGAAAGCGUGGGGAGCGAACAGGAUUAGAUACCCUGGUAGUCCACGCCGUAAACGGUGGGUACUAGGUGUGGGUUUCCUUCCUUGGGAUCCGUGCCGUAGCUAACGCAUUAAGUACCCCGCCUGGGGAGUACGGCCGCAAGGCUAAAACUCAAAGAAAUUGACGGGGGCCCGCACAAGCGGCGGAGCAUGUGGAUUAAUUCGAUGCAACGCGAAGAACCUUACCUGGGUUUGACAUGCACAGGACGCCGGCAGAGAUGUCGGUUCCCUUGUGGCCUGUGUGCAGGUGGUGCAUGGCUGUCGUCAGCUCGUGUCGUGAGAUGUUGGGUUAAGUCCCGCAACGAGCGCAACCCUUGUCUCAUGUUGCCAGCACGUUAUGGUGGGGACUCGUGAGAGACUGCCGGGGUCAACUCGGAGGAAGGUGGGGAUGACGUCAAGUCAUCAUGCCCCUUAUGUCCAGGGCUUCACACAUGCUACAAUGGCCGGUACAAAGGGCUGCGAUGCCGUGAGGUGGAGCGAAUCCUUUCAAAGCCGGUCUCAGUUCGGAUCGGGGUCUGCAACUCGACCCCGUGAAGUCGGAGUCGCUAGUAAUCGCAGAUCAGCAACGCUGCGGUGAAUACGUUCCCGGGCCUUGUACACACCGCCCGUCACGUCAUGAAAGUCGGUAACACCCGAAGCCGGUGGCCUAACCCCUUGUGGGAGGGAGC